rnacentral:rRNA from 1 species
AUACGUAGGGGGCAAGCGUUAUCCGGAUUUACUGGGUGUAAAGGGAGCGUAGACGGUGUGACAAGUCUGAUGUGAAAACCCGGGGCUCAACUCCGGGAUUGCAUUGGAAACUGCCAUACUUGAGUGCAGGAGAGGUAAGCGGAAUUCCUAGUGUAGCGGUGAAAUGCGUAGAUAUUAGGAGGAACACCGGCGGCGAAGGCGGCUGACUGGACUGUAACUGACGGUGAGGGUCGAAAGCGUGGGGGGCAAACAGGAUUAGAUACCCUGGUAGUCCACGCGGUAAACGAUGAAUACUAGGUGUUGGGGGUCUAUAGACCCUCGGUGCCGCAGCAAACGCAAUAAGUAGUCCACCUGGGGAGUACGUUCGCAAGAAUGAAACUCAAAGGAAUUGACGGGG